CUGCUGCUCAAGCAGCGGUUGAGUUUGGAGAACGUGCAAGCCUAGCUGCAUGACCUGUUAUAGAACUUUCAAGGCAAUAUUGUGUUGAUUAUGGUGGUUCAUGCCACUUAGCUUUCAAGGAUGAAAGGUUGGAACAUGGGCAAUCAUUUCCUUGAGAUGGUAAAUUUUCUAUUGGCAGGUAGAAUUAGAACAUGAAAUUUAAGGAUGCUACCUUUGCUGCUCAAGCAGCGCCUGAGUUUGCAGAACAUAGUGGCAUAGCUGCCAGAGUUGUUGUAGAACUUUUAAGGAAAUAUUGUGUUGAUGAUGGUGGUUCAUGCCACUCAGGUUUCAAGGAUGAAAGAUUGGAACAUGGGCAAUCAUUUCCUGGAGAUGGUAAUGGUAAUUGUUCUGUUCGCGGGAAGAAUUGGAACAUGAAAUUAAUGAUGCUACCUCUGCUGCUCAAGCAACGGCUGAGUUUGCUGAACAUGCAAGCCUAGCUGCCGGAGCUGUUGUAGAACUUUCAAGGCAAUAUUGUGUUGAUAAUGGUGGUUCAUGCCACUAAGGUUUCAAAGAUGAAAGGUUGGAACAUGGGCAAUCAUUUCCUGGAGAUGGU
rnacentral:lncRNA from 1 species